rnacentral:rRNA from 1 species
UUACACAUGCAAGUCGAACGGCAGCGCGGGAGCAAUCCUGGCGGCGAGUGGCGAACGGGUGAGUAAUACAUCGGAACGUGCCCAAUCGUGGGGGAUGACGCAGCGAAAGCUGUGCUAAUACCGCAUAAGAUCUACGGAUGAAAGCAGGGGACUCGCAAGAGCCUUGCGCGACUGGAGCGGCCGAUGGCAGAUUAGGUAGUUGGUGAGGUAAAGGCUCACCAAGCCUUCGAUCUGUAGCUGGUCUGAGAGGACGACCAGCCACACUGGGACUGAGACACGGCCCAGACUCCUACGGGAGGCAGCAGUGGGGAAUUUUGGACAAUGGGCGCAAGCCUGAUCCAGCAAUGCCGCGUGCAGGAUGAAGGCCUUCGGGUUGUAAACUGCUUUUGUACGGAACGAAACGGUCUCUCUUAAUACGGGGGGCUAAUGACGGUACCGUAAGAAUAAGCACCGGCUAACUACGUGCCAGCAGCCGCGGUAAUACGUAGGGUGCGAGCGUUAAUCGGAAUUACUGGGCGUAAAGCGUGCGCAGGCGGUUAUAUAAGACAGAUGUGAAAUCCCCGGGCUCAACCUGGGACCUGCAUUUGUGACUGUAUAGCUAGAGUACGGUAGAGGGGGAUGGAAUUCCGCGUGUAGCAGUGAAAUGCGUAGAUAUGCGGAGGAACACCGAUGGCGAAGGCAAUCCCCUGGACCUGUACUGACGCUCAUGCACGAAAGCGUGGGGAGC